UUUAUUUUUGUUACAUCUCUAACAGAAAAGCAUUUAUUAAAUUUCUCAAAAAUUUUUGUGGCAAAAAAAUUUAAAUUUUUUUAAAAUAUGUAAAUAAAUUCAAAAAUCUUAAAAUUAGCGGUUGAUUGAACCUUUUAGAACGUACUGUACUAAAUUCACCACGCUGCAUUCCAACAUUAACAUCAGCUGUUAACGCUGUUUAUGCUGAUAAGACCAAUUUGGUUGGUGCAAGAAAAAAUAGUGGAGUGGCGUAUUUACAUCUCUGGCAGAAAAAGUUAAGCAAUGUAUGCGGCAUUUCGUCAGAUUUUGAAUAAACACGUGUGGCUGAAACCGUUGCCAAAAUUUUUGGUUAAUCAACAGACGCGGAUACUUACACAGAAGCCAGAGAAUAUUAAGUUACCGCCCACACCAAAACCCUGUUGUCUAGCCGGUUGCACGAAUUGCGUUUGGGUUGAAUAUGCGCAAAAAAUUGCGGAUUUAUUGAAUGGUUAUGACGAGAAAGCACAAGAAAUUAUUUUGAAUAAAGUACCAGAUCCGGUGUUGAGAAGUUUCUUGAAAGUAGAAUUGAAAAGCAUUCAACAACAGAGAGAACGUGAACAUUUCGACGACUGAUAAGAGAUGCGACCUAUAUGUCGCCAACCUUGUACUCGUGGCCUCUUAAUACAACCCGCUAAAACAGUUCUUAAUUAUCUUUUGCGUAUAUAUGGUGAUAAAUCGGGCCAAAUUGAGAUUCCACCCGAACCCACAACAUGCUGCAUGUCUGGCUGUGCGAAUUGCGUUUGGAUCGAGUAUGCAGAGACAUUAUCAAAACUUUUUGAAGGUAAUGACGAAAAGGCGAGACAAAUUAUAUUAAGUAAAAUAACAGAUCCAAAUUUAAAAAUGUUCUUAAGUAUGGAGUUGAGAAAUAUUUCACAAAGGAAAGCUGAUGAAACAAGUACGAGUACUUCGAAAAAGGAUCAAUAGCCGCUACAGAAAAAUAGUCUAUAAAUUUAUUGCCUCCCUAUCUUAUUUAACAAUAAACUAAAUAUAUUUAUAUUCUAUACAAAUUAAGUGCAAAAUAAAAUAAUUCAAAUAUACAAUGAAGAAAA